AAAAAAAACACCAAAUCUAAUUCUUCCAAACAACAGGGGGAAGAUAUAUGUGAUGCUGCUGUAAGAGAAGUAAACGAAGAAACGGGAAUCAGAGCAGAAUUUGUAGAGCUACUUGCAUUCAGGCAAAGCCAUAAAUCAUUCUUCGGGAAGUCGGAUUUAUUCUUUGUUUGCACUUUGCAUGCUAAAACCGUUCUCUUAUAAGAUCCAGAAGCAAGAUUCUGAAAUUGAGGGAGCACAGUGGAUGCCUAUGAAGGAAUAUGCAAAUCAGCCUUUUGUAAAGAAGCAUGAGAUGUUCAAUAAAAUAGCAGAGAUUUGCUUAGCAAAAAAGGCCAACAAAUACAGUGGAUUCUCUAAUGUGCUUGUGACUUCUGGAUUUUCUGAUAAGAGGAGUUAUUUGUAUUUCAACCAAAAACAAUUUACAUUACCUGAAAAUUAAGGAUGCAAAGUAACCUGAGGUAAUACAGUGGCUGAACCAGAGUU